AAUGAGAGUGAGGAAUCUCGUGGGUGGUGGCAGAGAUUCACUGUGGCUCUAGAGGAGUAGGUGGUGGCAAAGUUUGAGAACUGAAGAAUCACAUCUUCUCGUUGUCCUCAAAGUUGGGAGAGAAUAGCAACAACUAAAUGUUUCCUAUUGCGUGGACAAUUGUUGAGGGAGACACAAAGUCAUCAUGGUUGUGGUUUUUGAGAAUAUUAAGUGUCUAUUUUGUUAUGGGUCAUGAAAAGAAUUGGACUAUCAUAUCUGAUCAACAAAAGGAUUUAGUUCCAGCAGUUCAUGAAGUAUGACCUAAAAUUGAACAUAGGCAAUGUGCUAGACAUACUUACUCCAAUUGAAGGAAGAUACACACUAGAAAAGCACUUCAAAGGCAGUACUGGAAAUGUGUCAAAAUGACAACUGUGAGUGAAGUUGCACUGAAAUUGAGAAUUAAAAAAGCUUUCACAAAUUAUUAUGUGAUGUAGUGGACAAUAACAUGUCAAAGACUUUCAAUUCAUUUAUUUUUCUUGCAAGAUACAAGCCUAUAACUUUAAUACUAGAAUAUAUUAGAUCGGCUCUCAUGGAUAGAUGCAAAAGAAAGUUAAGCUCAGGGAAAAAGUUGAUGGUGGAGUAGCUCCUAGGAUUCUUAAAAAAAUGAGCAGACACACCUUGAAGUUCACUGGAAUGGGCAAGAUAAUCAACACGGUUUUGAAGUGAAACAUAAUGGGUGAGAUUCUAGUUGUGAUGUUAAUUUAGCCAAUGGAAUUUAUAAAUGUAGGAUGUGGGAUUUG